rnacentral:rRNA from 1 species
CUUCCCAUUCCGAACAGGAAAGUUAAGGUCUAUAGCGCCGAUGGUACUGCAUGGGAGACUGUGUGGCAGAGUAGGACGUUGCGAGGU